rfam:Rattus norvegicus chromosome 11, whole genome shotgun sequence.
AACAUGGCUUUAUUUAAAGCCAACUUUUCUGAAAUAUAAAAACUA